rnacentral:tRNA from 1 species
GGAGAGGUGCCGGAGUGGUCGAACGGGCCGGUUUCGAAAACCGGUGUGGGUGCAAGCCCACCCAGGGUUCGAAUCCCUGUCUCUCCGCCA